GUGCUGUGUUCAGGCCAUGGGUUUGACCCUUGUCCUAGUCACCGGGACGGUGACAUUCAAGGAGGGGUGAAUGUAAUGGGUAGGACGGAGACGAUUAGAAUUGCACCUUGAUUGGAUCAGGUGGGUGCCACUUGGCGCUGCCCAGUUAAAUAUAGCCGUGUCUUCCGGUGUCUUGAUUAGUGCCUUUCGUUACUUGGCUGUAGCCUACACAGGAGCUCUUUUGUUGUGCGAGUGAACCCUGGCUUGGUGCCUGUGAUCCUUCACUGGAGUGUGUGUUUGUGUCCAAACUUCGCCUGACAAACUUUUUGGCUGUGGGCCCGUGUGUUUCAACAAAAACUGGCCACCUAGAGUGAGAGGUCGUUACGAGUCAAUUGCGUGUUUGUUGUGCAGUGGAUUUUUGCCUGUGAACGUAUUGUAAAAGCGGGUCCACGACGUGACCGAAAACCACAAUAGUUUUCCGGCUCAGCACGGCGGCCUGCGUUUCUCCAGGAGAACCAUCAUCCGCUGCCUUAGCCACUGUUUUUCCUGUGCUUUGAUUUUAGUAGCUUUUGUGUGAGCGUGUGGCUUAGCCACCUUGUUGCCUAGAGGGGCUGUCCUUACUGUUCAAUGUUUGUAUGUCUAUUGUAUGUGCUAUUUAUUUAGGCCAUUGGGUCAGUGCAAUAUUCUGGGAGGGGGGGACAAUAAUCUUGUGUGGCCAUUGGCUUGCUGAGAGUGAUUUCCACCGAUUUGUGUGUGGCUGAUGUGCUGUUUAUCGAGUGUUUGCUUACUCGUCAUUUCUGAAGUUUACCGUGUGCUAUUCAUCCAAACACCUUU